rnacentral:rRNA from 1 species
GACGAAGGGGGCUAGCGUUGUUCGGAAUUACUGGGCGUAAAGCGCGUGUAGGCGGUUGUCCAAGUUGGAUGUGAAAGCCUUGAGCUUAACUCAAGAAAUGCAUUCAGGACUGGAUGACUAGAGGACCGGAGAGGAUAGUGGAAUUCCCAGUGUAGUGGUGAAAUACGUAGAGAUUGGGAAGAACACCAGUGGCGAAGGCGGCUAUCUGGACGGUUUCUGACGCUAAGACGCGAAAGCGUGGGGGAGCAAACAGG